GAUGAACGCUGGCGGCGUGCCUAAUACAUGCAAGUCGAGCGAACAGACGAGGAGCUUGCUCCUCUGACGUUAGCGGCGGACGGGCGAGUAACACGUGGAUAACCUACCUAUAAGACUGGGAUAACUUCGGGAAACCGGAGCUAAUACCGGAUAAUAUAUUGAACCGCAUGGUUCAAUAGUGAAAGACGGUUUUGCUGUCACUUAUAGAUGGAUCCGCGCCGCAUUAGCUAGUUGGUAAGGUAACGGCUUACCAAGGCAACGAUGCGUAGCCGACCUGAGAGGGUGAUCGGCCACACUGGAACUGAGACACGGUCCAGACUCCUACGGGAGGCAGCAGUAGGGAAUCUUCCGCAAAGGGCGAAAGCCUGACGGAGCAACGCCGCGUGAGUGAUGAAGGUCUUCGGAUCGUAAAACUCCGUUAUUAGGGAAGAACAAAUGUGUAAGUAACUAUGCACGUCUUGACGGUACCUAAUCAGAAAGCCACGGCUAACUACGUG
rnacentral:rRNA from 1 species